rnacentral:rRNA from 1 species
UACGUAGGUGACAAGCGUUGUCCGGAUUUACUGGGCGUAAAGAGCGCGCAGGCGGUCGUUCAAGUCGAGUGUGAAAGCCCCCGGCUCAACUGGGGAGGGUCACUCGAUACUGAUCGACUUGAAGGCAGGAGAGGGAAGCGGAAUUCCCGGUGUAGUGGUGAAAUGCGUAGAUAUCGGGAGGAACACCAGUGACGAAGGCGGCUUCCUGGCCUGUUCUUGACGCUGAGGCGCGAAAGCUAGGGGAGCAAACGGG